UUCCGAGGGGUGCUCCGAAGGAGGAGCUGAGAUACCGCAAGCUUGGGCCUCGCCAUCAGGCGAACAGUCCGGGACCGCGGUGACCCUUUGAACCUGAUCCGGGUCAUGCCGGCGAAGGGACAGGGAUGU
rnacentral:ncRNA from 1 species